AGCGAACGCUGGCGGCAGGCCUAACACAUGCAAGUCGAACGAACUCUUCGGAGUUAGUGGCGGACGGGUGAGUAACACGUGGGAACGUGCCUUUUGGUUCGGAAUAACUCAGGGAAACUUGUGCUAAUACCGAAUGUGCCCUUCGGGGGAAAGAUUUAUCGCCAUUAGAGCGGCCCGCGUCUGAUUAGCUAGUUGGUGAGGUAACGGCUCACCAAGGCGACGAUCAGUAGCUGGUCUGAGAGGAUGACCAGCCACACUGGGACUGAGACACGGCCCAGACUCCUACGGGAGGCAGCAGUGGGGAAUCUUGCGCAAUGGGCGAAAGCCUGACGCAGCCAUGCCGCGUGAAUGAUGAAGGUCCUAGGAUUGUAAAAUUCUUUCACCGGGGACGAUAAUGACGGUACCCGGAGAAGAGGCCCCGGCUAACUUCGUG
rnacentral:rRNA from 1 species